UGCAAACUGUAGAUUAAUGAAGUUCCCCGCACCUUUUUGCUAUUUAAAGAUGGUGUUUGGAGCUACGAGGUUAUCCUGCCAAAAGUCCUAUGAUGGACUGAAACAUCAAUUUGCUGUAACCCGUGAGUUAUGAAUAAAGACAAAUAAUUUUCUUCAAAAAGCCCAGCGUGUGCCUUUCUUCGUGGAGAUUUUUGUUGAUUUGGCUGAAAGAGCAC